rnacentral:rRNA from 1 species
UACGGAGGGUGCAAGCGUUAUCCGGAUUCACUGGGUUUAAAGGGUGCGUAGGUGGGUUGGUAAGUCAGUGGUGAAAUCUCCGGGCUUAACCUGGAAACUGCCAUUGAUACUAUCAGUCUUGAAUACCGUGGAGGUCAGCGGAAUAUGUCAUGUAGCGGUGAAAUGCUUAGAUAUGACAUAGAACACCAAUUGCGAAGGCAGCUGACUACGCGAAUAUUGACACUGAUGCACGAAAGCGUGGGGAUCAAACAGG